AGAGUUUGAUCCUGGCUCAGAACGAACGCUGGCGGCGUGGAUAAGACAUGCAAGUCGAACGGGAUUUGUACGGUAGUAAUACUGGACAAGUCUAGUGGCGAACGGGUGCGUAACACGUGAGUAAUCUGCCGAGAAGUGGGGGAUAGCUCGCCGAAAGGCGAAUUAAUACCGCAUAUGACCAGGGAGGACAUCCUUCCGACGUCAAAGUCGCAAGACGCUUCUUGAUGAGCUCGCGGCCUAUCAGCUAGUUGGUGAGGUAAUGGCUCACCAAGGCUAUGACGGGUAGCUGGUCUGAGAGGACGACCAGCCACACUGGAACUGGGACACGGUCCAGACACCUACGGGUGGCAGCAGUCGAGAAUUUUUCACAAUGGGGGAAACCCUGAUGGAGCGACG
rnacentral:rRNA from 1 species